rnacentral:rRNA from 1 species
CGGCGGACGGGUGAGUAACACGUUGGUACCUACCCUCUAGUGGGGGGAUAACUGCCCGAAAGGGUGGCUAAUACCGCAUGUGAUCUUCGGAUCAAAGCAGUAAUGCGCUAGAGGAGGGGCCUACGUCCGAUUAGCUAGUUGGUGAGGUAAUGGCUCACCAAGGCUGCGAUCGGUAGCUGGAUCGAGAGGUUGACCAGCCACACUGGGACUGAGAUACGGCCCAG